CACGUAGGGUGCGAGCGUUGUCCGGAAUUAUUGGGCGUAAAGAGCUCGUAGGCGGUGUGUCACGUCGUUCGUGAAAGCCUGCAGCUUAACUGUGGGCGUGCGGUCGAUACGGGCAUCACUGGAGUUCGGCAGGGGAGACUGGAAUUCCUGGUGUAGCGGUGAAAUGCGCAGAUAUCAGGAGGAACACCGGUGGCGAAGGCGGGUCCCUGGACAAACCCUGACACUGAGGCACGAAAGCCAAGGGAGCAAACAGG
rnacentral:rRNA from 1 species